rnacentral:rRNA from 1 species
CAGCAGCCGCCGCGGUAAUACGUAGGUGGCAAGCGUUGUCCGGAAUUAUUGGGCAUAAAGGGCUCGCAGGCGGUUUCUUAAGUCUGAUGUGAAAGCCCCCGGCUCAACCGGGGAGGGUCAUUGGAAACUGGGAAACUUGAGUGCAGAAGAGGAGAGUGGACUUCCACGUGUAGCGGUGAAAUGCGUAGAGAUGUGGAGGAACACCAGUGGCGAAGGCGACUCUCUGGUCUGUAACUGACGCUGAGGAGCGAAAGCGUGGGGAGCGAACUGGCUUAGAUACCCCAGUAGUCCCUGUCUCUUAUAC